CGAGCGGGGAAGGUUGCUUCGGUAACUAACCUAGCGGCGGACGGGUGAGUAAUGCUUAGGAAUCUGCCUAUUAGUGGGGGGCAACAUUCCGAAAGGAAUGCUAAUACCGCAUACGCCCUACGGGGGAAAGCAGGGGAUCUUCGGACCUUGCGCUAAUAGAUGAGCCUAAGUCGGAUUAGCUAGUUGGUGGGGUAAAGGCCUACCAAGGCGACGAUCUGUAGCGGGUCUGAGAGGAUGAUCCGCCACACUGGGACUGAGACACGGCCCAGACUCCUACGGGAGGCAGCAGUGGGGAAUAUUGGACAAUGGGCGGAAGCCUGAUCCAGCCAUGCCGCGUGUGUAAAGAAGGCCUUUUGGUUGUAAAGCACUUUAAGCGAGGAGGAGGCUCCUUUAGUUAAUACCUAAAGAGAGUGGACGUUACUCGCAGAAUAAGCACCGGCUAACUCUGUGCCAGCAGCCGCGGUAAUACAGAGGGUGCGAGCGUUAGUCGGAUUUACUGGGCGUAAAGCGUGCGUAGGCGGCUUUUUAAGUCGGAUGUGAAAUCCCUGAGCUUAACUUAGGAAUUACAUUCGAUACUGGAAAGCUAGAGUAUGGGAGAGGAUGGUAGAAUUCCAGGUGUAGCGGUGAAAUGCGUAGAGAUCUGGAGGAAUACCGAUGGCGAAGGCAGCCAUCUGGCCUAAUACUGACGCUGAGGUACGAAAGCAUGGGGAGCAAACAGGAUUAGAUACCCUGGUAGUCCAUGCCGUAAACGAUGUCUACUAGCCGUUGGGGCCUUUGAGGCUUUAGUGGCG
rnacentral:rRNA from 1 species